rnacentral:rRNA from 1 species
GAUGAACGCUGGCGGCGUGCCUAAUACAUGCAAGUCGAGCGAACGGACGAGAAGCUUGCUUUUCUGAUGUUAGCGGCGGACGGGUGAGUCACACGUGGAUAACCUACCUAUAAGACUGGGAUAACUUCGGGAAACCGGCGCUAAUCCCGGAUAAUCUUUUGAACCGCAUGGUUCAAAAGUGAAAGACGGUCUUGCUGUCACUUAUCGAUGGAUCCGCGCUGCAUUAGCUAGUUGGUAAGGUAACGGCUUACCAAGGCAACGAUGCAUAGCCGACCUGAGAGGGGGAUAGGCCACACUAGAGCUGAGACACGGUCCAGAGUCCUACGGGAGGCAGCAGUAGGGAAUCUUACGCAAUGGGCGAAAGCCUGACGGAGCAACGCGGCGUGUGUGAUGAAGGUCUUCGGAUCGUAAAACUCUGUUAUUAGGGAAGAACAUAUGUGUAAGGAACUGUGCAGAUCUUGACGGUACCUAAUCAGAAAGCCACGGCUAACUACGUG